rnacentral:miRNA from 1 species
CUCCGUUUGCCUGUUUUGCUGAU